UACGUAGGGUCCGAGCGUUGUCCGGAAUUAUUGGGCGUAAAGAGCUCGUAGGCGGUUUGUCGCGUCUGCUGUGAAAUCCCGAGGCUCAACCUCGGGUCUGCAGUGGGUACGGGCAGACUGGAGUGCGGUAGGGGACCACGGAAUUCCUGGUGUAGCGGUGAAAUGCGCAGAUAUCAGGAGGAACACCGGUGGCGAAGGCGGUGGUCUGGGCCGGCACUGACGCUGAGGAGCGAAAGCGUGGGGAGCAAACAGG
rnacentral:rRNA from 1 species